rnacentral:rRNA from 1 species
CACAGGGAGGUAGUGACAAGAAAUAACAAUACAGGGCAUAUGUCUUGUAAUUGGAAUGAUGCCGACUUAAACCCUCGGCAGAGUACCAAUUGGAGGGCAAGUCUGGUGCCAGCAGCCGCGGUAAUUCCAGCUCCAAUAGCGUAUAUUAAACUUGUUGCAGUUAAAAAGCUCGUAGUUGAAUUUGAGCUUGCGCGAUUCCGUUAUUGGAGUAUUGCGCUUGCUUUUUUGUUACUUUGAGAAAAUUAGAGUGUUUCAAGCAGACUUUUGUCUUGAAUACUUCAGCAUGGAAUAAUAGAGUAGGACCUUGGUUCUAUUUUGUUGGUUUUUGAGCCUUGGUAAUGGUUAAUAGGAACGGUUGGGGGCAUUCGUAUUUAACUGUCAGAGGUGAAAUUCUUAGA